GAAUACCACCCUAAAUGACAGCUGUGCUAACAAGAUAUGCCGCAUGGGCUUAAUUAAGAUACGGCGAACAAGAUCAGUGAAAAACAAACGUCAUCAAAAUCGGCGAACACCUACUUCCGUCAACGUCAUUCCGCAUUCUUCUCGCCGCCGUCAGCAGCAAAGUUGUGCAGCAAAAAAAAGAAAAAAUAAAAGUGCCCGUUUUUCGUACGAACGAAAAAAAAAUCGUCCUAGGAAGCGGACGAAGGGCGCGAGUGCUUAAGAAGGAAUCGGGGAAGGAAUUCCUGACGAUAUAGGAAAAGAUAUUAACAGCAAUUGAAAUUGCUUCCCUCAUCCGCACCGAUUGUGCCAUCCGGACCGUAAUUGUGACAGCACGUGGGGACAUAUUUAAAGUCUAACAGACUGCUCGCUUUGAAUCCCAGAGACGAAUCCGGACGGGCGGGUGGACUAAAGAAUACUAAGCACGUCGGAACACUCCCGGUACCGUAAACCAGAAAGGGCAAGGCAUUAAAUCGAUCGGGGCAGAUCAUAGCUAAUUGAGUACCUAUACAAAGAGCACACCCGAAAUCAAACCAAAGCUCAAGGACACAGCACCGUAAUCCUUCCAUUCGCGGCUCGCACGACAAAAGGCCUCCACAAGGAGGCCUUUUUUCUAUAUUUUGCAGAUCGGUCACGGUGAACGGCCUUAGCCUCCCGAAAGGUAACCGCCGCGGGCGUUUCGAAGACUGUGGGGAUCGAAGUCCGAAGCCGGCAAAACCAUCAUUCAGCUGUCGUGCUGGGAAGAGUUCGGCAUUGCGCGAGAAGGUACGGAAGCUUGAACCGGAAAGAGAAGGAUACGGACGAUAAACACCACCCACUGGUAGGUGCAUGCCAAAGUAGCACGGCCAAUCAGACACAGGAACCAAGGGGUGCGCAAUUGUCCAUUUAUAUGCACGACCAAAGGAAGAGCAAUUGGCGCAUCGCUGCCAAUGACAAGACGAAUCUUCACGCCACUUCAGAAGCACAGGGGUUCACCAUUUCCUCGCGAUACGAGAUGCGCUCGACGGAAUCCAGGUGGGAAGAACGAGAGCGGCACUGAGGAUGCGGCAGCCGUGAGUGAUAGUUUUAAGAAAUUGAAACGAAGAUGUAAGAAGACCAGGCAUGCUAAUCGAGUAGGAGAGUAGGAAGUCAGAAGAACGUUGAGAAGUUAUGUAAAUGGGUGAAAUAUAGGAUGAUAUGAUUGCACACUAAAUUAUGUUUUGUGGCGUUUAUUGUUGCUAGCCG